AGAGUUUGAUCCUGGCUCAAGAUGAACGCUAGCGACAGGCUUAACACAUGCAAGUCGAGGGGCAGCGGGGGAGUAGCAAUACUCCCGCCGGCGACCGGCGCACGGGUGAGUAACACGUAUGAAACCUGCCCGUAGCAGGGGGGGAUAAGCGGAAGAAAUUCCGUCUAAUACCGCGUAACAACCCUUGGAGGCAUCUCCUCGGGUUUAAAGGAAGCGAUUCCGGCUACGGAUGGUCAUGCGUCGCAUUAGCUGGUUGGCGGGGUAACGGCCCACCAAGGCGACGAUGCGUAGGGGUUCUGAGAGGAAGGUCCCCCACACUGGUACUGAGACACGGACCAGACUCCUACGGGAGGCAGCAGUGAGGAAUAUUGGUCAAUGGCCGCAGGGCUGAACCAGCCAAGUCGCGUGAGGGAUGACGGUCCUAUGGAUUGUAAACCUCUUUUGUCAGGGAGCAAAGGGCGCCACGUGUGGCGCUUUGCGAGUACCUGAAGAAAAAGCAUCGGCUAACUCCGUGCCAGCAGCCGCGGUAAUACGGAGGAUGCGAGCGUUAUCCGGAUUUAUUGGGUUUAAAGGGUGCGCAGGCGGAAUGUCAAGUCAGCGGUAAAAUUUCGGGGCUCAACCCCGUCGUGCCGUUGAAACUGGCGUUCUUGAGUGAGCGAGAAGUAUGCGGAAUGCGUGGUGUAGCGGUGAAAUGCAUAGAUAUCACGCAGAACUCCGAUUGCGAAGGCAGCAUACCGGCGCUCAACUGACGUUCAUGCACGAAAGCGUGGGUAUCGAACAGGAUUAGAUACCCUGGUAGUCCACGCAGUAAACGAUGAAUACUAACUGUCCGGGCAGAAUGAUGCCUGGGUGGUACAGCGAAAGCGUUAAGUAUUCCACCUGGGGAGUACGCCGGCAACGGUGAAACUCAAAGGAAUUGACGGGGGCCCGCACAAGCGGAGGAACAUGUGGUUUAAUUCGAAGCAACGCGAAGAACCUUACCAAGCCUUGACAUCUUCCUGGCAGCAUAUGUAAUGUAUGUUCCCUUUGGGGCAGGAAAGACAGGUGGUGCAUGGUUGUCGUCAGCUCGUGUCGUGAGAUGUUGGGUUAAGUCCCGCAACGAGCGCAACCCCUGUCCCCAGUAGCCAGCGCGCAGCGGCGGGCACUCUGGGGAGACUGCCGGGGACAACCCGGAGGAAGGCGGGGACGACGUCAAAUCAUCAUGCCCCUUAUGGCUUGGGCUACACACGUGCUACAAUGGCGCCGACAAAGGGAAGCGAAGCGGCGACGUGGAGCAAAUCCCAAAAACGGCGCCCCAGUUCGGAUUGUAGUCUGCAACCCGACUACAUGAAGCCGGAAUCGCUAGUAAUCGCGGAUCAGAAUGUCGCGGUGAAUACGUUCCCGGGUCUUGUACACACCGCCCGUCAAG
rnacentral:rRNA from 1 species